rfam:Heterocephalus glaber contig183283, whole genome shotgun sequence.
GGGGGUGUGGCUCACUGAUAGAGCACUUGCCUAGCAUGCAUGAGGCCCUGGGUUUGAUCCCUAGGACUCCAA